rnacentral:rRNA from 1 species
UACGUAGGGUGUGAGCGUUAAUCGGAAUUACUGGGCGUAAAGCGUGCGCAGGCGGUUUUAUAAGCCAGAUGUGAAAUCCCCGGGCUUAACCUGGGAACUGCAUUUGGAACUGUAAGACUAGAGUACGGCAGAGGGGGGUAGAAUUCCACGUGUAGCAGUGAAAUGCGUAGAUAUGCGGAGGAACACCGAUGGCGAAGGCAGCCCCCUGGGCUAACACUGACGCUCAGGCACGAAAGCGUGGGGAGCAAACAGG